rnacentral:misc_RNA from 1 species
CCAAAGCAAGUUGGCACAGCUAUAUAUAGUUCACACUAACCAUGUAGCUCCAUUUGAACUAAAAGUUGUCACUAGCAAAUCUUUAAAGUGAUCUUACAAAAAAUAAAUACCAAUUCAACUGAGAAUUAAUAAUACAUCAGACAAGUCGCAUACCAAAAGCAGCGGGAACUUGGAGGUCGAGAUCAGACAUGAAACUUUGCUGAGAAAAAAGAUAAACUUGCUCAAAUCACCAAACUUGGAUGCUCAGAUCUGAAAAAUUAGGGUUUUGAGAGAGACCCUUUACAGAUUCG